UAACGAGUUGUGGAUGCGCAAUUAAAUA
rnacentral:piRNA from 1 species